rnacentral:rRNA from 1 species
UUGAAAGGGAAACGAUUGAAGUCAGUCGUACCAGCGGGAAAUCAACCUUUCGAGUGGGGUUUUGGGGUUUUGAAGAGUGUUAAGCCUUUGAGAUUUCGAAACGUUCGCUCUUUUGGUGUACUUUCUCGUAGGUAGGUUAACAUCGAUUUUGAUCAUCAUAAAAAGAUUGGAGGAAUGUAGCUUCGAUCUCGUAUUGAAGUGUUAUAGCCUUUGGUAAAUGUGAUGGUUAGGAUCGAGGAUUGCAACGAAUACCCUUUUGGGCUAUCCGCCUGAUCUCUGAUACGUGGCCUUGGUAUCGAAAGCGUGCUUAUGAUAUUNAGGUAUUACGGUCAAAAGGUUAGAACGGAUUACAUUCGUUAAGGAUGUUGACGUA